rnacentral:rRNA from 1 species
UGAGGAAUAUUGGGCAAUGCCUGAAAGGGUGACCCAGCAACGCCGCGUGGAGGAUGAAGGUCGUAAGAUUGUAAACUCCUGUUAGAGGGGAAGAAUAACUAAGUUUGGAGCUUAGUAUGACUGUACCCUCAGAGAAAGCCCCGGCUAACUACGUGCCAGCAGCCGCGGUAAUACGUAGGGGGCAAGCGUUGUCCGGAUUUACUGGGUGUAAAGGGCGCGCAGGCGGAAUGGAAAGUCAGUGGUGAAAUCCUACAGCUUAACUGUAGAACUGCCUUUGNUACUUUCAUUCUUGAGUUCGGGAGAGAGAGACGGAAUUCCAGGUGUAGUGGUGAAAUACGUAGAUAUCUGGAAGAACACCAGUUGCGAAGGCGGUCUCUUGGUCCGAUACUGACGCUGAGGCGCGAAAGCGUGGGGAGCAAACA